UUACGGUGAUAUCACAUUGAAACACCGGUUCUUGUACGAUCACGAAAGGUAAACAACCUUGAGCCUGGUCAGUAUCUGGAUGGGUGACCUCUUGGGAAUACCAGGUGCUGUAAG